CUAACUACAUCUAACACAGACGUCUUAAGAGAACUUGAGAGUCUAUUUCUACCCUCACUGAAGAGGACUGUGAGGAUCUCUCGCUCGGCACUGGCUUCACCAACUUCUGCAAUUCUAAGGCAUUUCCUGUUUGAUAAGUACCUGCUUAGUGCAGGCUUGUCUGUCUCCACGUUAGCGUAGAUCCCACAGGGCCUCCCAAGGAGCAGAAUGUCCUGAUUUUUAAAGUAUAGGGCACAACACAACGACUAGCAGGAACAUCGGGCACGACACUAUUCUCCUGUCACCCCAAGCCUUUUGGGGUUGCACGGAAAGGCUGGGAUGACUGCUCCUGGGGACUCAGUAAGUUUGCAUAGCUCCCUUGCCACCCCCUCCUCUGUGAGUAACAGCCU